rnacentral:rRNA from 1 species
UACGUAGGUCCCGAGCGCUGUCCGGAUUUAUUGGGCGUAAAGCGAGCGCAGGUGGUUUAUUAAGUCUGGUGUAAAAGGCAGUGGCUCAACCAUUGUAUGUAUUGGAAACUGGUAGACUUGAGUGCAGGAGAGGAGAGUGGAAUUCCAUGUGUAGCGGUGAAAUGCGUAGAUAUAUGGAGGAACACCGGUGGCGAAAGCGGCUCUCUGGCCUGUAACUGACACUGAGGCUCGAAAGCGUGGGGAGCAAACAGG